AAUUUAUGACCAAGUAGUCUGGAUUCUAAACUAUCUCCUUUGACUAUAUGUUUCAUAAUCAGUUCACUUUCCCCCAGUUAUCUCCAUUCAUUCUAACCCUUUUCUAAAGUGCACACUUCGUGUUUUGCAAGUAUAAUUAUCAACUCAUAGCUAAUAGCUAAAAUGUUGGCCAAAAUAAUAAAGAGAAUUGUGACAAAUUCUGCCUGACUAUGCCACAACAGUGGCUAGAUUAUGUUUAGAAAAAUUGGUUUAUAGUUUCUAACUUUGCCUUUUUAUCUUCUGGUAUUUUGAGGGGAAAUGGACUACUUAAGAUACUCCCAGUUGGGGCUCUGGAACAUCGUGGAAACCGAAGGAGGAGUAGAAGUACAGAAGGAGAAAGCUUUCAUAGAUGGGUCAAAGACUGGAACAACUUACCAUACUUCAGGGAAAAGAGAUGAACAGCUAUUCUGAUGCUUUUGAAAUCACACAGGAUUUGUGGACAGUGAUGUCAGAAAUUCGGGAUUCUAGGCUCAUUAUUUCAGAGUCCCAAGACGGGGUGGAAUGAAGUCCUCCACUUCUAAGAAGAGCAGUGAGUAACUAUACCAGCUUUCUUUAAAUUCAUAUGUCAUGUGAUCUGUGCCAUACCCUAAGGUCUCUGUGUUCAUCUUUUCAAUGACUUUCUGGAGAAUAUCUUCAUAAUGUGUCCUUUUAUUUGGUGAGUGUAUCCACCCUCAUUUCCAAAUUGUAAAUUUUACUUUAUCAGAGUUUUGUGUGGAUUAACAAAUGAAGAACUUUGGAAAAUUGUUUAUUUGUUUUGUUUUGUAUUGCAGUGAAAUACUAUUUUAUGAAUUAAGGUAUGCUUGGAAGUUCCCUUAAAAAUUACGAUGGUUUUGUAAUGUUGACCCCAUGAUUAAGAUUAUCAUAGUCAGAUCAUUUUGGUCAGAUUUAUAAGAUCAUUAUGGAUCAUUAUUGCUACUUUUUUCAUCAUUGAGAUUUUACAUUAAUUAGAUAUUUUUGAUGUGGACAAUUAUAUGCUAAAUUUUAUGAGCUCUUUCUAAGGCCUUCAUUUAAAUGAUAAAUACCCAAACACAAUAAAGUUUUUCUAAAACACAAAACAGUUCAAUUUUCCAUAUAAUAUUUGUCUCAUAAAAGAUAUUAGGUUGAAUUAAUCAGGUGGAUAGAUAAUGAAAUUUCAUAUAUUAAAUUAUUAAUCAUUAUUUUCUGUUAAAUUUGAAACAUCCAUCAAUAAGGGAAAUAGUCUGUAUCUUCCUUGGCAUGAUUACAUAGAAGGUUUUAUGUUACCUUGAGCUUGGUGUUCAUACUUUGGGAAUAGGUAAAUGGUUUUUUUCUUGAUAAAGUUCUUGUCAUACAUUGUUUCAAUGAGAAAUUGUUUUUGUGUUCUCUUUAUGCUUAUAUAUGUGUUUAUGUAUGUAUAUAUUUUAAUGUGUGUAUUUAUUUCUCCAGAAUCUAGCAAGACAAUUCAAAUGAACUCAAUAAUAAUGAAUAAAAUAGCCAUGAACACUAAUAAUUGUAAAAUCAGAAAAUAAAAAAGCCCUACCAGAUACUGAAAUGGACUCUAAAACUUCCAUUAUUAAAAAAAAAAUGAGAAAAAAAUUGAGAAUGAAUGUAAAUGAAAGGAAUACUAGCACAUAAUUUGGUUUAAUAAAUAUCCUACAAAUACCUGCUUUUAGAUUUUACUAUCUGUAUAUUUAUAUAAUACUUACAUUAAUGUAUGUUUGCAGUGCAUAGCUGCUAUCUCCAGGUACCGAAGUAUAUCAACAUAUAAUAUUUAUGCUGUUAAGGGUAGGUAUUAAAAGUGUGCUACCCAAUGUGUUUUUUUCUAAGUACUUUCUUCCAAGACUGGGAACAAGACAACAAUGUCCUCUCCCAUCACUUCUAUUUAUAUUGUUCUGUACAGUAAUGACCAUGCAACAGGGCAAGAAAUGUAAAUAAAGGCAUAAAGAUCACAAAGUAAGAAACAAAGAUUUCUUUGCAGAAAACUCAAUUACUUAUGUUAGAAAAUCCCAAAGAGCCUACAAUAACACUCCCAGAACUGAAAACUUAGUUUAGCAAGUUUGCAAGAUACAAGGCCAAUAUACAAGUCAAUUAUAUUACUAUAUAAUAGCAACAAACAAUUGGACUUUGAGAUAAAUCCCAUUUAUAAUAGCACAAGAAAUGAGGGACUUCUGUAAUGCAAUAAAAUAUGUACAAUAUCUUUGCAAAACACUGAUCAAGUUAUCAAAGAAAACCUAAAUAAAAGUAGAGAUAUAUUCUGUUUAUGGGUCAGAAGUUUCAAAAUAGUGGAACUGUCAGUUACCCCAAUUUCAUUUGUAGAUUCAAUAUAAUCCAAAUAAAAAAUAUUGCAAUUUCUUUGUAGAUAUCAACAAGGUCAUUCUAAAAUUAAUGUCAAAGGUAAAACAACUAUAAUAGCAAAAGAUAUCCUGAAAAACUUAUAAAGUCAGAGACUUUACACUAUGUUAUUUUAAGGCUUACUAUAAAACUAUAGUAAAAAUUAACACAUAGGUCAAAGAAGAUAAUAUCUGUUAAAGAUAGUCAUGGAGAAAGAUACCUGGGUGGUUUCUGAAAUGCUGGUAGUGUUUGUUUCUGGAUAUGUUUAUUGAUUACCUGCUGUUUUUGGAAGAUGCAAAUUUAUUGAUUUCUAUAGUUUAAUGCAUGCCCUUUGCUGUAUCUAUAUUAUACUUCAAUUGAAAGUUUGAAAUAUGAAAUAAAACUAGUCUAAAUAUUGGUUAA